rnacentral:rRNA from 1 species
UACGUAGGGUGCAAGCGUUGUCCGGAAUUAUUAGGCGUAAAGAGCUCGUAGGCGGUUUGUCGCGUCGAAUGUGAAAACCCGGGGCUCAACCCCGGGCCUGCAUUCGAUACGGGCAGACUAGAGUUCGGUAGGGGAGUCUGGAAUUCCUGGUGUAGCGGUGAAAUGCGCAGAUAUCAGGAGGAACACCGGUGGCGAAGGCGGGUCUCUGGGCCGAUACUGACGCUGAGGAGCGAAAGCGUGGGGAGCGAACAGG